UGAGGAAUAUUGGUCAAUGGGCGGGAGCCUGAACCAGCCAAGCCGCGUGAGGGAAGAAGGCCCUAUGGGUCGUAAACCUCUUUUGUCAGGGAACAAAAGCGAGUAUGUAUACUAGUCUGAGUGUACCUGAAGAAAAAGCAUCGGCUAACUCCGUGCCAGCAGCCGCGGUAAUACGGAGGAUGCGAGCGUUAUCCGGAUUUAUUGGGUUUAAAGGGUGCGUAGGCGGCGAUGCAAGUCAGCGGUAAAAGCCCGGGGCUCAACCCCGGCGAGCCGUUGAAACUGCAGUGCUAGAGAAGGCGAGAGGUACGCGGAAUGCGCAGUGUAGCGGUGAAAUGCGUAGAUAUUGGGAGGAACACCAGUGGCGAAGGCGGCUUACUGGACGGUGACUGACGUUGAGGCUCGAAAGCGUGGGGAGCAAACAGGAUUAGAUACC
rnacentral:rRNA from 1 species